CACGCCGAGGGACCUACAAAGGCUUCUACAAAAAGCUGAGGCUCGAGGUUUCCUAGGAAUGAUUGGAAGCAUCGAUUGCAUGCACUGACAGUGGAAGAAUUGUCCUACUGCUUGGCAAGGAGAGUACGGGAAUUGGAAGGGCCAAAAAAAUAUAAUUUUGGUGGCCGUAGCUUCAUUCGACUGUUUGGUUUGGCAUGCCUUCUUCAAGGUUGCUUGAUCUCAGAAUGACCUCAAUGUCCUUGGUCAAUCCCCGGUGUUCGACCAGGUAUUGCGAGGUCAUUCUCCCCAGAUCACGUACCAAAUCAAC
rnacentral:lncRNA from 1 species